rnacentral:rRNA from 1 species
AUUGAACGCUGGCGGCAGGCCUAACACAUGCAAGUCGAGCGAGCGGCGGACGGGUGAGUAAUGUAUGGGGACUGCCCGAUAUAGGGGGAUAACACCUCUAAACGGUAUCUAAUACCCCAUACUAUCGGAUAACCCAUAUGGGAUUAGCUAGUAGGUGAGGUAAUGUCUCACCUCGGCGACGAUCCCUAGCUGGUCUGAGAGGAUGAUCAGCCACACUGGGACUGAGACACGGCCCAGACUCCUACGGAGGAAGCAGUGGGGAAUAUUGCACAAUGGGCGAAAGCCUGAUGCAGCCAUGCCGCGUGUAUGAAGAAGGCCCUAGGGUUGUAAAGUACUUUCAGUCGGGAGGCGUUACCGACAGAAGAAGCACCGGCUAACUCCGUGCCAGCAGCCGCGGUAAUUC